GAGCCUCGGGGGAGGAGGGAGGCGCGCCCUUGUUUCCUGCUGCUGCUGUUGUCGAGAGAGCAAGUCGCAGUUUUCUCUUUCCGGAAGGUAGCAAGCGGGUGAUCGCCUGAAACGAAGUCGCAGCCAUGCGGGAGAUCGUGCACAUGCAAGCCGGCCAGUGCGGGAAUCAGAUUGGAGCCAAGUUCUGGGAGGUCAUCAGCGACGAGCACGGCAUUGACCCGACAGGCAGCUACCAUGGAGACAGCGACCUGCAGCUUGAGAGGAUCAACGUCUACUACAAUGAAGCUGCCGGCAACAAGUAUGUCCCCCGUGCCAUCCUUGUGGACUUGGAGCCUGGCACAAUGGAUUCUGUCCGCUCUGGACCAUUCGGCCAGAUCUUUCGGCCUGACAAUUUCGUCUUUGGCCAGAGUGGUGCUGGGAAUAACUGGGCCAAGGGCCACUACACAGAGGGAGCUGAGCUGGUGGACUCUGUGCUGGAUGUGGUAAGGAAGGAGUCGGAGAACUGUGACUGCUUGCAGGGCUUCCAGUUGACCCAUUCCCUGGGCGGCGGCACGGGCUCCGGACUGGGGACGCUCCUCAUCAGCAAGAUUCGGGAGGAGUAUCCUGACAGGAUCAUGAACACGUUCAGCGUGAUGCCGUCCCCUAAGGUGUCAGACACAGUGGUGGAGCCCUACAAUGCCACGCUGUCCGUCCACCAGCUGGUGGAGAACACGGAUGAAACCUACUGUAUUGACAAUGAGGCCUUGUACGAUAUCUGCUUCCGCACACUCAAACUCACGACUCCGACGUACGGGGACCUCAACCACUUGGUGUCGGCCACCAUGAGUGGCGUCACCACCUGCCUGCGGUUCCCUGGCCAACUGAAUGCUGACCUCCGCAAGCUGGCAGUCAACAUGGUACCAUUCCCUCGCCUGCACUUCUUCAUGCCCGGCUUUGCUCCCCUCACGAGCCGCGGAAGCCAGCAGUACCGGGCCGUGUCAGUGCCAGAGCUCACCCAGCAAUUGUUUGAUUCCAAGAACAUGAUGGCGGCCUGCGACCCACGCCACGGGCGCUACCUGACGGUGGCGGCCAUUUUCCGGGGCAGAAUGUCCAUGAAGGAGGUGGACGAGCAGAUGCUCAACGUCCAGAACAAGAACAGCAGCUACUUUGUCGAGUGGAUCCCCAACAACGUGAAGACGGCUGUGUGCGACAUCCCUCCGCGAGGCCUCAAGAUGUCCGCCACCUUCAUUGGCAACAGCACGGCCAUCCAGGAGCUGUUCAAGAGGAUCUCUGAGCAGUUCACGGCCAUGUUCCGCCGAAAGGCCUUCCUGCACUGGUACACCGGAGAGGGCAUGGAUGAGAUGGAGUUCACGGAGGCCGAGAGCAACAUGAACGACCUGGUCUCCGAAUACCAGCAAUAUCAAGACGCCACAGCGGACGAGCAAGGAGAGUUUGAGGAGGAAGGCGAGGAGGACGAGGCUUAGGAUCGCAGUGGUUUAGGGCAAGUGUUUUGGGGCACAGUCUGUUCAGCUCUGCUGCUGCAUGCUUUUUCAGUUCAAUUUGGUGCUUUAACAGUUGAUUUCCCUCAUUGCCCAAACCCUUUGAUUUGGAAGCACUUUUAUAGGUCAUGGAAACAUUUCAACAUAAUAAUGAAAAGUGGGUGCUAUGAAGCUGAAAGUGAACUUUGUAAACGUUACCCUUAAGAAUAUAUUUAGUUCCUUGUUAAGACAACUGUUGUCAUUCAGCCAAUUAGGAAAGCUAUUGAUCACACAAUUGUACUGCAGCUGUUUUAUAAAAAUUAUAAAUUUAUAUAAAUUUAUAAUUUUUAUAAUUUUCUGCAGAGGUUACUUAUAUCAUAGUUUAUCUGAAAUAAAGACUUCUCAGCUGCUCCAUAGACAAGGAAGCUAACUGCACAAACCAUAUUGAAAAUUCAGGAAUCUAGAAAUAGUUUAGAAGGCCAUUGAGGCACAACCUGAGAACACCUCUACACAUUUUGCAAGCAUGAAAGAGAAGAAAUUCGUACAGCAGCUUCCCCUAACCUGGCCCUUCCAGCUGUUUUGGAUUAUACCACCACUAAGCCUGGUUUGGGGAAGGACACUUUACCAAAAUCUAGAGGUGUAUGCUCAGCUAAUUUUGGAUAUUCCCUGCCCUCAAAAAAUGUCCUUAUAUUGCCACAAUGCACAAUAUAGAAAUUUGCAACCUGAAUUGUGUGUUAGAGGUUCGACAGUUUAAAUUUUAAUUGCAACAUUUGCGGUUGUUGCGCUGUGGACCUCAAAGGAUGCAGAUACUUAAAUCAUGACUGAUUCAUUGAUAACUUUUUCUUCAGAGGGAGGACUUUGCCACUGAGUUGUACAGUUUAUCUUCAGUUCCAUAGUUAGAUUAUAUUUGGGGUAUUAAUUGCUCAAUGACGUAUGUCCCAUGUUCCCUAUAAAGGGAAAAAAGCUGGCUUUUAAACCUUUCCAUUUUAAGAGAAUAAAAAGCUUGAAGGAUGAGGGGGGAAAGCAGCAAGAAGACUGCAGAUAGAGCAGGCAUGGAUUCUGAUAGCAGUGAUCAAGCACGUUUUUUGUGGCAUUUUUGUGUAAACAUUAAGAAUCUGUCAUGAAGUCAAACUGUUCAAUGGUUUUUGUGUGGUGUUAAAUAUUGAGGACUCUAUAAAGGCAUGUGCUCUGAA